ACGGUUUUAGUGCUGGUACUUACUGCGGAAGGAGGAGACGGGAUGCUGCACAAAUACCCCCCUCUCCCAGGUGCUCUGUGCUGGUCAGAGGCACAGGGCAGCUUUCCAGGGCAGACCUCCCCGAGCAGAGAGAUUCAUUCUGCCAUAAAUAAUUCCUGUUUGUGGCUUUUCUCCUGCCUGCACUGGGCUGGUUCAGGCGCUGGAAGCAGAGGCUGCUGCCUCGCCGGGAUGUGUUGCAGCCCCGCGAGCCUCCCGGUGCCACCUCCCCGCCGCCUGACGCUGGAGGGGCUGGGGGGCUCCUGGGGGGCCGUGGAGACGAUGCCUGAGCUGUUUUAACACAGCUGAGGGUUGCCAAAGGCUCCCCUUCGCAUGGGGUCAGGCUCCCGGCAAGAAACUCCCCCCAGCCCCUUCUCCGAGCCCCGUUCCCAGCGGUGUUGCGGCACUUCGGCCGUGCCGAGCUUGGCUGGCUCCGUCCGUCCGGGCUGCCGGCGCGGGGAAUGGCUCCUCGGGCGGCAGGCCUGCCAAGGCCAGAUGGUGUUUGCGAGCGGCGCCAGGUCCCAGCUGAGCGCUGCCCGGCGAGACGCACGCAGAAGCUGCCACCGCAGCCGGCGCUGCCAAACCCGCGGCAUAUGCUGCGCUCUGCCCUACACCUGCCGAUGGGCAGCCUCCGUGCACCGCUCGCGUGGCGCCGGCGUGAAGGAAGGAGGAAAAGCGGCAGCCCCAUCUGGAAGGAAUUUAGCGGAUAAACAAGGGCGGCGAAACCCAAAAAUGAAAAAAAAUUUAAAAAAAAAAAAAAAAGAAAAGAAGAUGGCACAGGGGGAGCCGCAACCACCCCGGUAAGGUCGUGGGGUGCAGCGGGUGAGGGCUGAGCGGCACCCAGGGGUGGCGGUGCGUGGGCAUGGGGUGGCCGGGACACGUCCCCUUUGCGCGGGGACUCCCCUUUGCACCGGGACCCCCUUUCCCUGUGCACAGCCCGGGGCCGGCUGCCCUGCCACGUCCCCACCAGCCCCAGCAAAAGGUGCUGGGAAACUGCUGGGGGAUAUUUAACUUCUUCUCAGGAGAAAACCCCAAACGAUCGCGAGCAAAAUUGAUGGGAGAAUAUACUUUCUGCCUACUUUGAAUUUACUUUGGUAAACUGUACGCACUCGGGGCUCGGGUCUAUAAUUUAUUGAAAGGAACCAGACUGGAAACCAGCUUCAUACUGUGAGUAAUUUCUAGCAUCGCUGUAAUCUAUCACCGGGAGACAGGGCACUUUGUUUCUCUGAAAAAUUAUUUUUAUAGUUGGCUUAGUAACAACAACAAUUAUUAUUAUUAAUAUUAAUAACUACUUGUGUGAGGCCUUUCAUGCACGCUUUAGAAAGUGUUUUGCACAUGGGUCAGUGGGUGGUAGCUGCAUCCCAUGGGAAGGGAAACUGAGGCACAGAUUUGGCUGCUGCCUUGCUUAGGCUCACCCUGGCAUGCAGCAUCCUCACUCCCAAAACACAGCUUGGCCCACUGGAUGCUGCUGGCCUUUGUGUAUUUCUAAAAUAUUUUAGGAUUUAGUAGUGACGAAGGAGCAGAUCAGGAAAUUAUUUUCUUUAAAAUUUGGGUCUGCUUGCAUUCAAAAAAUUAUUAAGAAAACUCGAGGAAGAAAUCACCCUUUCCAUGCCAUGGUGGCUAGAGCUGAUGUGCAGGUUGUGCCCUGCAUGCUCCAGCUCAUCCCCUGGGGAGAGCACGGAAACAAGCACAACAUUUCCGCUCGGAAGUAGUGACUCAAACAUUUCCUUCACUUAGUUUUAAUGUGAGAGAAGUAGAAAAAUUUAAAAGCCUUUGAUUUCCCCCAGACUGGCUCCCCGGUGCCUGGCCUGUGCCCCCCAACAGCACCGUCUGGAUGGUGAAAAGCAGGACCCACGCUCAGCUGCAGCAGUGCCGGGGCUGAGACCUGCGGGAGGGACACCCGUCCUUAACUCACCAGCUCGGCUCAUUAAAUAACACGGUGCCAUUUCACAGGGAUCUUCCCAAUUCCACUUUCCAGAGUGGAAAAAUGCUGUUUCUGGGUAAAGAGCAAUAAAGACCUGCUGCUGAAAAACGCACCAUGUGCUGGGGUUGGGGGGAGAGCCCCCAGCCCGGCUCCUGGGGCAGACGGAUGUGGAUGGGGGCACCUCAGCAUCAUCCUCUCUCAUCCUCUCCGCUGCUUGGGCCACGUGCAAACUAAACGUGGUUGUUCUGGACACAUGUGAACUUACUGUAAUUUAGAGAGUGAAACUACUCCAGGUGGAAAUUGCAUUCUUCUGUGGAAGUGGUGUAAACUUUCUAUCCAUACAUCGUUCAAGACACUAUUUUAUCUGUGAUGAGAGGGCUCUUCGGCUGAACUUUAUCCCUGUCUCUUUUCACUUCUUGCUUUGUAGCAAGAAUAGUAAUAUUUAACAUUUAUGGAGCACUUUUACAUCUUCAAAAUCCAUUUGCAGGUAUUAACUAAUGAAGCCUUGGGCAGCUCCCAUGAGGUGGAGGGGCACAGCAGCAUUAUCUGCAUUUGCAGGUGGAAAAUUCAAGGCAGGAGAGGAGGUAGGGCAGAAUCGGGACUGGAGCCUGGGCUUCCUGCCUGGCCCCGGGCAGCAUCCUCCAGUGCCUCACUGUGGCCCACCAUCUCCGGGUUCGCUUGCAAAAUGUUCACCUCCAGUAAGAAAAGUGAGUUAAAAAAAAAUUAGAAAAAGAAAUAAUUUUUCCCCUCCAUUUGGAAUUUUAGCACUUUUUUGGCAUUUUUUUUCUUUAUUUCUUUAAUGCAAUGAAAAAUGUUCAGAGCAGAGCCAUGGUCCUUAAUCCUGUACAGCGGUAAUAUAAUCUGCAUUUGUUCAGAGCCAUUCAACCUGAAUCAUCCCUGAACACUGAAGCUGACACGCAAGCAAUGCACAGCGAUAAAUCCACCCACCACCUCGAUGUAGGCGCUUCCAGUUAAAACACAGAGAGACAGCCCGGGCGCAGGGCUGCUUUGCCCAGGAGCACGUCGAACUGAAGCCUUUUUGGAAGAUGCCCAUUUCUGCUGGGUUUGCUGUGCUGAAGUUGGAUGUGUAGGAUUUACUGUGCAGGGUGAGGAAGCCAACAGAUGGCACUGUGCUGUUUCUGGAGGAGCCCAGCCUUGCUGGAGGCCAGACACGGGAUGCCCAAAUGCUGGAAAAGCGUUGCGCUUCAGGGAAGUUUCUCCCCGUGCAAAGGCAAAGUCUCCCCGUGGCCGUUCGUCCGCCCUGAGCUGCUGCUGCUUUGGCCCAAAGCACGAUGCGAAGCAGGUAUGUUUGUACACAACCUCGGGACAUCAUCUGUUACCAGGAAAAGGGAUGCAAAACCGUCCUGCAAACCGGGUGAGUGUUAGAAAAGCUCAAAUUCCCCUCGGUGCUCUACCGGUGCCCGGCUGAGGGAAUCAAUUGUGGGGAGCUGAUUAUUUUGGCAGGAGGCGCAGGGUUCCUUGGGAGCACAGCUGGAUCAGCCGGUGGCCCUCAUCUGGAGUUCGACUUUAGCCCCGGGGGCUCCUGCUGAUCGAGACCAGCAGAGCAGAGGUGAAGGAUGGGGUGAUGCUGAGUUGGUUCCUGGUAGUAAAACCCUGCCUGUUCUUUUCAUCAAGCCUCCUCUGUGCAAGAGUGCCCUUUAUUUUACAUGUCCCAUGUGUUUGCACUUGCUGCUCUAGGAGCAGAGACACGUUCAUGGCUCCAGCCAUAGGUUUGUGCCUCGUAGCAGGGUUGGGUGGGUGGUUUGGGGUGAAUUAUCCCCACCACUCAAAAUACGCCUGUUUUCCAAGCUGAAUCUCUAACUCCUUUCCAGUCCAGUGUUGCAAAGUCCUGUGGAGCCAUUCCCCAGCGUUCCCAGUCCUACCUGCUGAGUGUCAUUGUCAUCACUGACGUGCUGGGCUCCCUUGUUUCCAGCUCCUUAACAAGCUUGCACGCCCCGAGAUGUCUUCUCCCUCCUGUACUGGCAUCGCAUCCUCCAUCCAACAGCAAAUAUCUGGGAUGGGGAUGGGGAAAGCUGGGCUCCAAACCCAGCAUCGGGAGCUGCUCUUACCUGGUAGAGGCUGAGCUGUUGAGGUGGGGAAAACUCAGAAACAUGGCUGGAUUUUCUUGCCUUAAGCCGCAAGACCUUUUCCAGCAAGCAGGGCCAGCAGCGACUGCACACCACAGCUCCGCACCCUGCAGUCCCGUCUCUCCGCCUCGCCUUCCUACCAUUUGCCAUUGCUCUCUUUCCUCCCUCCCUCUUCUAAAAACCCUCUCAAGGUCUAAUCCAGCGGAGGUAUGCAGCGUUUGCUGCCAGGUCCUGAGCAUCCCCGUCUCCCGCGGAGCCCCUGCGCACCCUCCGAGGACGUGCUCGGCAUCGCCGCUGCCCCCAGUCGCCCCCCGCACGUGGCGAGCUUGACCCCGCUGCCAUCCGAUGCCGCCUUUCAAAUUGCUAAAGUCAAAUUAGGGAAAAGCAACAACUUUUGAAUUUCUUCUCAGAGAGUUGAAGAUAACAGCUGUGCCAAAGCAUGUCAUGGGUGACGUGUUCCUACUGUCGCUUUGGAGGGGUGAUCGGCGAAGGGUGCGGAGGCAGAGCUGUGAGAAGAGCAGAGAAGUGUCCCUGUUGCAUGGAGCCGCUCAGUCCACGGCCACUUUGCGCAACCGAGCCGGAGCAGUGCAAGUUGGAGGGGGUUGGUGCAUGGCUCAGGAGCAGGGCUGCUUCAAGAGCAUGGUCUUGCUGUCUGCUUGUACCUUACUGACCACUUUUCUCUGUGUCUUAAGCAAUUCACGUUUAUAAAACCUCUGUUGUAGCCUUCAAGAUGGGUUGCUUUGCAUUUUGAUCCCUUUCUGAAGCCAUGGAGCUGCCAGGAAAAUUUUGUUUACUUAAAGUGAGUUGCUGUGGAGCACCCGUACAUGGGAUGGCCACUGUGUACUUCGAGAGGUGCUGAACUGCCUGCUGAUUAUGGUCUGAUCCUGUAGACUAGCUCUUUGGUCCCCAAGAUGGUGCAGAGGAAGCCAAGAGCCUCUUCAUUUAUCACUGUCACAAUUUGCAUCUUGUUUCAAACCUGGUUUCGUUGAUCACAGCCCGGGUGUUCUUCUGUUUGCAUAGUGCCUGUUACAGCGAGAUCCAAUUUAUGGCUUGUGCUCUUCAAGUGUUUGACAGUUCUGGUUUAUCUGCCCCAGGAGUUUUGUUUUUUCCCCUGGAAAUGAUUAGGUGGUUGUGAAUUGACAUGAGGAGCUAUCAGGAGGAAUAGGCAAGAAGAACAUUAACAGUCUGUAGAAAACACAGGAGACCUAUAUCAACAGGUAUUUCAGAAAGGCAUUUGGGGAGUCAUUCUCAGCCCUCGGUAGAGGAAACAACUCGCAAAGCUAUCAGCUCAAUUGCCACUGGACUUUAACCCAGCUUAUAAAGUCACGUAUGAUCCAAGUGCAUACACGUGCCCAUGGGUAGCCACAUGGCUGGGCAGCCCGUGGUCUGCUCGGUCUGUGCAAACUCCGACUGCAAGGUCCUGGAUGUGCAGGUGGAAGCUGCCUCUGCCUUUAGGGAUGAGGCCAAAAAUCCUCAAAAGCAGCAGUCAUGUGCAAGACAGACUAUUUAAUACUGAAUCAAAAUGCUGCUAAGCGUUGGCAACUCAUGGCCAUGAGCACCCUGAGCUGGGGACUGUCAGCAGUCCGGGGACAGGAGACCCUUGUGUUCAACAAGUCAGGAGAUCCAGUCUUCCAGUGAAAAAGAUGGACUGGUCCCGUGUGACAAGGUGCAGACACACAGUGUGGAUAGGAAACGGCACUGCCUGCCGGGCAGAGCUGGAAAAGGCUGAGGCGGGAUUCGGCUGAGGGGCAGGAAAGCCUGAAGGCAGCGGAUAAGCUGGAUGCAGAGCAAUCGUUCACCAAAUGCUGUAACAGAAGAACGAGGGGCACUCAGCUGAAAACAGUAAGAGAUUAAGUUUGAGAUAGAUAAAAGAAAGCACUUCUGGACGCGACAGGUAGUGAACUUUGGGAACUUGCUGCCAUGGGAGGAAAAGGGAAUUAAACUCAUGGAAACAGCUUUAUAAAUGGCAGUUAGAUGUCCAGGCAGGGAUGCACCCUCCAGUGUCCCUGCCAAGACAGCUCAGGGAGCUGGGAAGCAAUGGAAAGUGGCCUGGGUAGCACGCUCCUCUUAAACACCGUGUCCCACUGUGCCCGUCAGAGACAGCAUGCCGGGCUGGACAUCCCGCCGGAUAGAGCCAGCCAGAACAUCCCGUUCACCGAGCUUGCCCGCAUGAAUAUUUCUGCUGCAGUGUGCAAACGCCGGCUUGCACGGGGGGGCUGGCACGCUUCCCACACCAGGCGUGCGAAGGCCACCGCCCUGCAGCUUAUCCUGCAUCCAGGGGCCAGUGGCACAGCUGCUGCUGGUGGUGGUCACCCCCCAUCCUCGGGGCAGGGGGCUCUGCCGUCCCCCCGCUCUCCAUCCUUCCCGUGCCGUUAUCAGCCCCAGCGAUGGCAGCUGCCCGGAGAGUACCUCGCUGCUACAACAUAAGACACAUGGAUCAAUUAACUCAGUAGCUGGGUUUCGCUUUUGAAUCAAUUAACUGGAACUGAAAUUAACUAAAAAUAUCCUUUGCUUAUUAACAGACCGAACUAAUUGCAAUAAAAGGUGGGAAAA